UUGAAAAAUUUUUAAAAAAAAAGAAAAAUUUAUUAUUUGUACCUUGUGUAUCAGGGUUUAUUAAAUAAUUAAUAAUUAUUUAUUAAUCUCGAUUUUAUAAGAGUUAAUAAUUUAUGAAAGUUAAUGUUUUAUAAUUAUUUUAAAUAAAUUAUUAGAAAUGAAAUGUUAUUCGUUUAUAAAGGUAUCUAGUUUUUUUAGAAAUAAAUUUAAUUUAUUAAUUUUUAAUUUAUUUAUUAAUUUAUUAAUAAAUAAAUUUAAUAAUUAAAAUAUUUUAAGGGAUAAGCUUUAAAAUAAAGUAUUAAAAAUUUAAUUAAUUUUUUUUUAAAAAAUAAUGUUUAGAAUUAGCAAUUAUUAAAAAGUUUGUUAUAAAUUAUUUAAAAAUUAUAUUAUUUAAUUAUAUUUUAAUUUUUUAUAAAGAUUUUGUUUUUAAUUUUAAUUAAUAAUUAAUAAUGAUAAAAUUAGUAUAUUUUUUUUGUUUAUAUAAUUAUAAUUGAUAAGUUUAUAUAAAGAACUCGGCAAAUAUAUUUACUCGCCUGUUUAACAAAAACAUGUCUUUUUGAGUUAUUUUUAAAGUCUAACCUGCCCAAUGAAUAAUUUAAAUGGCCGCAGUAUUCUAACUGUGCAAAGGUAGCAUAAUCAUUAGUCUUUUAAUUGAAGGCUUGUAUGAAUGGUUGGACGAAGUAUAAUCUGUUUCAUAUAAAAUUAUUAUAGAAUUUUAUAUUUUAGUCAAAAAGCUAAAAUUUUAUUAAAAGACGAGAAGACCCUAUAAAUCUUUAUAAUUUAUUUAAUUUUUAUUUUUUAGAUUUAAUUUUAUUUAAAUUAAAUAAAAUAUUUUGUUGGGGUGAUAUUAAAAUUUGAAAAACUUUUAAUUUAUAUAAACAUAAAUUAAUGAAUUAUUGAUCCAUUAUUAAUGAUUAAAAGAAUAAGUUACUUUAGGGAUAACAGCGUAAUUUUUUUGGAGAGUUCUUAUUGAUAAAAAAGUUUGCGACCUCGAUGUUGGAUUAAGAUAUAAUUUUAGGUGUA
rnacentral:rRNA from 1 species